rnacentral:rRNA from 1 species
UACGUAGGGGGCAAGCGUUGUCCGGAUUUAUUGGGCGUAAAGAGCGUGUAGGCGGCUUUACAGGUCCGUUGUGAAAACUCGAGGCUCAACCUCGAGACGCCGGUGGAAACCGUAAAGCUAGAGUACGGAAGAGGCGAGUGGAAUUCCUGGUGUAGCGGUGGAAUGCGCAGAUAUCAGGAGGAACACCAAUAGCGAAGGCAGCUCGCUGGGACGGUACUGACGCUGAGGCGCGAAAGCGUGGGGAGCGAACAGG